AAGUUCUGCUUCUCCACCACCUGCAGCCCUCCAUCUUGUAGGAUCUUCUGGCAGCAGGGGUCCAGGCUGUCACUGAGGGAUGAGUCAUCUCCUUCCUAAUUGUGACUGACUGUGGACACAAGAGAAAAUCACCUGCUGUGCUUACAGGACCAUCAUGGGCAGCAUCUGCCCAAAUUGGAACACUGCUACAACUCUACAAAAUACCUCAGGUUACCUUUGGCCCUUUUGAUUCUAUCUUGAAUGACAGACGUAAGUUUAAUUCUCUUUACCAAAUGGCCCCCAAGGACACAUCUCUGUCACUUGCCACACUCUUUUUGUUGCUUCGUUUCAGCUGGUCCUGGGUUGGUCUGAUCCUCCCAGAUGACCACAGAGGGAUUCAGAUUCUAUCAGACUUAAGAGAAAAUAUGGAAAGCCAUGGUAUCUGCAUAGCCUUUUUGAAAAUGAUCUCUGGCACAUGGAAUGCAUUUUCCAAUGCAUUAUGGAAAACUAUGGAGGAGAUUGAGGAAUCAUCAGCCAAUGUCAUAGUUAUUUAUGGAGACAUUACUUCUGUACAAGGUUUAAUGCGACAUAUUGCACAACUGUUAGUGACAUGGAAAGUCUGGGUCUUGAGCUCUUCCUGGGAUGUUGAUACCCACUCUGAUUAUUUUAUGGUAGAGUCAUUCCAUGGGAGUCUAGUUUUUUCACACCACCAUGAAGAGAUGGUUGAGUUUAUGAAUUUUGUCCAAACAGUUAAUCCCUACAAAUACCCAGAGGACAAUUAUCUUCCUAAGUUUUGGCAUUUGUUUUUCAAGUGCUCAUUUUCUAAACUUAAUUGUCAACUUUUGGAGAACUGCCAACCCAACGCUUCUUUGGAUUUACUUCCCAGACACCUUUUUGACCCAGCCAUGAGUGAGGAAGGCUACAAUAUAUACAGUGCUGUGUAUACUGUGGCCUAUAGUGUCCAUGAGAUGAAUCUUCAACAAAUACAGACUCAACCAUAUGCCAAUGGAGAACAAAUGGCAUUUUCCCCCUGGAAGCUUCACCCUUUCUUAAAGAACACAAUAAUGAAAAGUCAUGUGAGAGAACACACAGUAAUGCAUGGGGAAGAAACUUAGAUGCACAGUAUGACAUUCUUAAUUUUUGGAACUUUCCAAGUGGUCUUGGAUUAAAGGUGAAAGUAGGAACCUAUUCUCUAAGUGCGCAGAAUGGUCUACAGUUCUCUAUAUGUGAACAGAUGAUACAGUGGCCUACAGGGUUUACAAAGAUUCCUCAGUCUGUGUGCAGUGAGAGCUGUAGGCCUGGAUUCAGGAAAGCUGCCCAGGAAGGCAAGGCUGUCUGCUGCUUUGACUGUACUCCCUGUGCAGACAAUGAGAUUUCCAAUGAGACAGAUAUGGAUAAGUGUUUGAAGUGUCCAGAAAGUCACUAUGCAAACUCGGAGAAGAAUCACUGCCUCCAGAAAUCUGACCAGCCUAAGCCUAUCUGGGUUCCUUCCAGAAAUGUCCUACACCACUCCAAUGACCAAGAAGAUGUCCUGCCUCUCACUGGCAGAUCAAGGACAGAAGAGAAGGAGGAGUCAGAGGAAACACCACACCCAGAAGAACAACAAGAUCUCCUAGAAGGACAUCCAUGACCUGGUGACUGCUGCCCAGACAAUGUGCCCUCCACAAGCCUCCAUCUCCUUUAUUCUCUUGGCUGUUUUUGUUGUUCUUCAUGCUAACUCUGCUGCUGCCCAGCCUCUCCUUAGCCUUCCUAACACCUGCCAUUGGAGAUUCUAUGCUAUGGAAACCUACAAUGGACACAACAAAGUUAUAGGGACCCAGGACUGUCCACUAAAAGGAUGUUGAACCAGGAUUGAGAUCCCUCUACACCCAGAUUCCAUCUCCACUAUGCUCAGGCCUUUUCUCUGCUUUCCUUACCAAAACACAGGUAAAUGUCUCCAGGAGGUCUGCACAUAUGAAGGUUACAGAUACUGGAGCUGCAGAGUGGAACCCACCAGUCAUGGUGGCACAAUGCUCACCAACCUUAAAACACAUUUCAGCUUUCCAUCAGCAUUAUUUGGGAUGAACAUUGGCAGACUGGAGUCAUGGGUAAACUUUACCCCAAUGGCUAUGCCAAAUAUCCAGUUGCUGACCUGCACAUCUCCUGUGACGUUGUUCCUGCCUCCAAUUCAGCCUUUACCCAUGCUAAUAUUAUCCAACAGGAAAAACAGUCUCAGAAGGAGCUGCAAGCUACCCUGUCCUGGCUAUAGUACAUCCAAUAUACAGCUGACCUACUUCCCUUAACAACCCACCCCAACUUCUCCCAAUGUUUUUUCUGUGCUUCUCUCUCCUGCCAUUAUUAGCAGCUGUUCCUAUUAACAUUUCCCUUCAUGACAUCCAUGGAACCCUACCCGUGAGGAAGCACAGGACAUUCCUCUCGUUGAUCUACCCACCCCUCUUUGCCUUGUAGAACACUCCUCAAAACCCCAUCUUACAUGCGUCCAUGACAUCACCAUCAAAAAUCCGUAUGUGUUAACUCUCCUGCCCUCUUCUGUUGCAAAGGCACUACAAAUGCCUGUAUUACCACCCCCCUUUUCAAGGCUCCUGCACCACAAUGAUAAUUGUCCCCGAGUUUAUCUCUAUGAACCUGAAGAACUCGCCUUGCAGAUGAGAGAAAACAGAAUGAAGAGAGAGAUCUUCAUCCCUCUGCUCAUUGGACUAGGCCUUGCUGUCUCACUGGGUGCAACAGGAACUGCUGGAGGAGCCCUCAUCCAAACACAACAUCUGGCCAGCGACUUUCAAGACAAGCUUGAUCAGGCAAUGGCUUCCACUACAGACAGCCUUGAGUCUCUUCAAUGCCAGAUAACCACCUUAGCAGGAGUUGCUCUCCAAAAUUGGAGAGCCCUGGACUUACUGACUGCUGAACAGGGAGGGACUUGUGUUUUGCUGGAGGAGAAAUGUUGCUUUUAUGUCAAUGAAUCUGGGCUAGUAGAAC
rnacentral:lncRNA from 1 species